rnacentral:lncRNA from 1 species
UAUAAUAAAACAAAACACUAAAAGCCACCAUUUUAUGUUCAUCUUUCUUCACCGAAUGUAGAAAAGAAAAACAAGGUUUGAAAGCUUGAAACAUUCGACCAUUUUGAAGCUUAAUUCAAGGUUGGUUUUUGUUCGGUUUUUGAUAAUUUUUACGUUUUUGAUAUCGUUGCUUUGAAUACUUCAAAACCCAUAUCUUAAUUUUGUGAAUUGUUGAUGAUUUUGAGAAAUGCCAUUGAUGAAUGCUUGAGCUUUGUGAUAGUUGAUGAUGGAAUAUGAAAGAUAUGUGAAAGAUUAACAUGUUUUGUCUUUGAAUUUUUGAUGAAUUUGAGUAAUUAGGGUUUAAUUGUAAAAAUAAAUUUUUGAGGGACUAAAAUAUGAAAUAAAUGAAAUAUGUGGGCUUGUAUGGACACUAGGAAUAUUCGGCCCUUAAGGAGUGAAGUCAAAUUUUGUGUAUUUUGUGUUUUGAGCAAAAAGGACUAAAUUGUAAAAAGUGUGAAAUGUUAGGGGCAAAAUUAUAAUUUGCCUAUUUAUGUGUUUUUAGGUUAAAUUGAAUAGAAUUAUGUUUAAAUAAACUUAAUUUGAAUAUGCUUAGAUCAAGAAUUAAAGAAAUUGGAUUUGGAUCGGGGAAAUACAAAAGUGGUCGAGUAGCUGAUUUAACAGUCGACGACAUCCGAGGUAAGUCUAUUAGCAUAUAAAUGUUGUUGAAUUUGCAAAUAUAUAUAUAUAUGUUAUUUGUUGAAUUGAAUUUUGUGGAUAUAUAUGUGUAUUGGCCGAAUGUGUGAUAAGCCAGGAAGUUUUAUUUCGUGUUUGAUUCGAUCGAGAUACGUUGUCCAAGAGCCCGUACGAACCUUAGGAAUAGAUAGGAUACAUAUGUCAUGACAUAGGAUUUCCGAUAUGUGUUAUCGUGUAAGACCACGUUUGGGACGUUGGCAUCGACUUGUGUUUACGUGUAAGACCAUGUCUAGGACAUUGGCAUCGUAUUUGAUUCGUGUAAGACCCUGUCUGGGUCAGUGGCAUCGAUAUGUGAUUACAUGUAAGACCACGUCUAGGACGUUGGCAUUGUACGAGUCUUUCGACUAUCCGAGUAUCCUUUUUAAUUCUGAAUGGUUCAACGGGCAAAGAUAAGUUGUGUACGAAUGUAUAAAUCAGGCUAAGUGACCAGGUAUAUGAUAGUUGAUUACCUAUUUGAAAAUAAGGUAAGUUGUAUACUUGAAUUGAUGAUAUGAAGUUAUGUGAAAUAUGAAUUAUGUGAUUGCAUAUUUGAAUAUAUAUGUAUUCGGCCUUUGAUGUAUAUGUGCAUUGAGGAAAGUGAUGAUUGGAUAUAUUAAUGUUCAAUUGAUUAUUCGGUAAAGAGGGAAGUUAUUACAAAUUCUAUAAGUUUUGAUAUAUAUAUUGAUAAAUUGAAUUAUAUGUGAAAUUAUAAUGAUUUAUUACUAAUUGUCUAGCUUAAUUUAUGUAAAUGAUUAAAUGUUUAUUUGCUUAUGGCUUACUAAGCUUUAAUAGCUUACUGUGUGUAAUCGCUUUCAAUUUUAUAGAUUUGGAAGUUGGUUAAGAGCACGGGAAUCGUCAGAGAAGUCUAUCACACUAUCGACUGUUUUCGGUAUUUUACUAAGUUUGAAUUUAAACUUAUGGCAUGUAUAGUCUAGUUAAUAUGUUUGAUUUUUUGGGUAUGUAAAGAUGAGCCAUGCAAAAAUGGCUCAUUUAUUUUGUUAAGCAUGGUUUUUAUACUUUUGAUCAAGUGAUAGAUAUGUUGAUUUUGGUAUUUCAGCUAUGGCAUAUUUAUUUAUGUGAAUUAUGUUUGAUAUGUUUUGUUAAGAAGGUGGUAAAUAAUUCGGCAUAGGUGAGCUUAGUUAAAGCAUAUAAGUGAAGUGAGUUUGGUAUAAUAUGUUAAUCUCUGAAUUGACCAUGGUGUAUAUAUAUAUUAUGGUGUUUUAGUCAUGUGCUUCGGUAAUGAGGUAAAUGAUAUUCAAGCUUAAUUAAUCUUGGUUAUGUGUUAUAUAUAUAU